rnacentral:rRNA from 1 species
UGGGGAAUUUUGGACAAUGGGGGAAACCCUGAUCCAGCCAUCCCGCGUGUGCGAUGAAGGCCUUCGGGUUGUAAAGCACUUUUGGCAGGAAAGAAACGUCGCGGGUUAAUACCCCGCGAAACUGACGGUACCUGCAGAAUAAGCACCGGCUAACUACGUGCCAGCAGCCGCGGUAAUACGUAGGGUGCAAGCGUUAAUCGGAAUUACUGGGCGUAAAGCGUGCGCAGGCGGUUCGGAAAGAAAGAUGUGAAAUCCCAGAGCUUAACUUUGGGAACUGCAUUUUUUAAACUACCGGGCUAGAGUGUGUCAGAGGGAGGUGGAAUUCCGCGUGUAGCAGUGAAAUGCGUAGAUAUGCGGAGGAACACCGAUGGCGAAGGCAGCCUCCUGGGAUAACACUGACGCUCAUGCACGAAAGCGUGGGGAGCAAACAGGAUUAGAUACCCUGGUAGUCCACGCCCUAAACGAUGUCAACUAGCUGUUGGGGCCUUCGGGCCUUGGUAGCGCAGCUAACGCGUGAAGUUGACCGCCUGGGGGAGUACGGUCGCAAGAUUAAAACUCAAAUG